ACUCACUUCACCACGGGCCUGAGACCCCUGCCCUCGAAGGCUCAGCUGACACUUCCAGGCAAACGCUGGCAGAUGACAGCUGCCACUUUCACACUUGGCCCAGCCACCGCCUCCUGCUCGGCCUGGCCGCUGCUGUGGGGAGGAGACCAGAAGCCGGAGCAAAGCAGAAGCAGAAGAACCUGUGACCUCAGGCACCUGGGAGGUGACUUCGUUCUGUGUAAUCACAGCACAAGGCAUGAAUUCCUCCUGCGCUUGUCCUGAGCUGUCCCACAGCCUGGCACAAACCUAAAUAUUUAACUGUGAUCGAUUGCUCGCUGCGUCAUUCUCUUGCUGCCCUUCUUUCUACACAAAUCUUCCUGCCACCAGAGGUCCUCCGCCUGGGCAUAUGUUUUCUGAAAUAACCUCUACUAACCACAUGCAGUCCUGCUCCAUCUAUUUCUGUAUCUCUUAAACUCCAGAUUUCCUGGCUUAAAAUAUAGCUAGGACA